UUGAAAGGGAAACGAUUGAAGUCAGUCGUACCUGUGGGUAAUCAGCCUUUUGGGUGUGAUUUUGUGGAGUGUGAGGAGUUAAACGCCUUCAUGCCUGCAUAUUCGUGCACUUUGGGUGUAUUUACCCGUGUGGUAAGUUAACAUCAAUUUCGGUGAUCAUAAAAUGGCUGGAGGAAUGUAGCUNNGAUCUUGUAUUGAAGUGUUAUAGCCUUCGGUAGAUGUGAUGAUCGGGAUUGAGGAUUGCAACGGAUACCCUUCGGGGCUACCUGUCUGAUCUCUGAUCGUUGCUCUGGUGCCGAAAGCUUGCUUACGGUUAUCAAAGUCGAUGGUCAAUAGGUUAGAACGGGUUAAAUUCGUUAAGGAUGUUGACGUA
rnacentral:rRNA from 1 species